UCGCGCAUGCCCACUUGGAGAGUCAGUGGUCCCAACCCCUCUUAACCAGCUCGUGCCUGAGCUAGACACAGCUGACGUCAAGCUCCUGAAAAACAGCUUGGGCCAACACUUUCUCAUUUACACGGUGCUGCUGGGAGGACGUGCAAGUCUUUUGUUAAAGCGAACUGGAUCUGCCAAGUCAGGCUACAGUCCGGUUUUUGCUUUGUUUUGGGCUACGUCUUUGGCGUGUGCAAGUUCCUGGCCAGGGAUCGAACCUGCAGCACAGCAAUGACAAGGCCAGAUCCUUAACCUCCUAGGGAACGCCACUUCGUUACUAAGCAGGUUGUAGCUGAAGGAUCUGAUGACUCCCCUCAGUUUCGAAAGGAGUGGACUCUCUUCUCCCUGAUGCCCUGGACCAGCCCUGAAACAGGCGGAGAUGGAGGCAAGUUUCAGGCUCAGGACCUGUGUCACCCCCAGUCUCUGCUGAGAUGCGACUGCUCCCCCUUCCAAUUCUGGGUCAGGAUUCCCACCCUCAUGGGCUGCUGUGUUUGGGAGGGUGGAGCCUGGACUUGAGAAGAAGAGGUGUCUCUAACCAGCUUCCACAGACCGAUAGACUGGGCAUCUGCUGAUCACAAGGCCAAAGUACCGGCCAAAGGUCCUCUGAGGUUCGGCUCUUACAGGCACAUGAGAAUCAUUGCAAACCCUCCAUCCGCAAACCCUAAUGUGUGCAUUUCACUUGCUGCUGACCCAAAACGUUUCCACCUGGCUACUCCCCACCACACCAGGAGUGGAGGCAUCCUCUCAGUUCCUCUCCCUCCACCCUCCCCGUCCCCUCCCCUCCCCCCUUCCUGUGUGUGCUGAGGCAUCUUGGGUCCCCCUGGUUUGGGGGGGGGCACUUUGGCUAAUAAGCUCUUUCAGCACCAUUGAGCUCUACAUGUUGUCACUCAGUAUUUAUUUAUUUUUAAUAGCAGCAGUCACAUCUGGAAGUUCCCCAGGUACAUUUUAAAACAAGAGGGUACUGGAGUUCCCACAAUGGUGCAGUGGGUUAAGAAUGCCAGCUGUAGUGGCUUCGGCCGGUGUGGAGGUACAGGUUCCGGGCCCGGUGCAGUGGGUUAAAGGAUCUGGCAUUGCCACAGCUGUGGCUCAGAUUCAUUCCCUCGCCCAGGAACUUCCAGAAGCAAAAAAAAAAAAAAAAAACAGCUGGAGAAAGUGCCUUCUCCCGCCCCCAGAAUAGCGCAGAGCCCUACCUUCUGAUGACAGAGUGUGGAGCUGCGUUUUCCUAGCAUCUCUUCUACUUGGGCCAUUUGGUGAAAGCCCUCUGCCCUCUGGGCUGGAGGGGAAUUUUGUCUAAAUGGAUAGUCUCCAACCCAAAGGGCUCCUCCAGGCAAACAUGAAAUUUGAGAUUCCAUUUUAUAGGGAAGAGUACCAAAUUUCCUUCCAGAAAGUUACGUUCUCACCAGCUGAGUGUCAGGAACCCCAUUUCCUUGCACCUUUGCCAGCUCCAGAUUUAGAUACUUAAAAAGAAAUUCUCGGAGUUCCCGUCGUGGCUCAGUGGUUAAACAAUCCAACUAGGAAUCACGAGGUUUCAAGUUCGGUCCCUGGCCUUGCUAAGUGGGUUAAGGAUCCAGCAUUGCCAUGAGCUGUGGUGUAGGUCGCAGACGCAGCUCGGAUCCCAUGCUGCUGUGGCUGUGUCGUAGGCCAGUGGCUACAGCUCUGAUUCAAGCCCUAGCCUGG
rnacentral:lncRNA from 1 species